UACGACUACAUAUCAGGCAUAUCAAUAAGCGGAGGAAAAGAAACUAACAAGGAUUCCCUUAGUAACGGCGAGUGAAGCGGGAAGAGCUCAAAUUUGAAAUCUUCAAGGUUUUACCUUGACGAAUUGUAGUUUAAAGAAGUGUUUUCUGUUGAAGUUUUGGUAAAAGUUCUUUGGAAUAGGACAUCAUAGAGGGUGAGAAUCCCGUAUUUGACCAUUAUUUUCCAGCUUUGUGAUACACUUUCAAAGAGUCGGAUUGUUUGGGAAUGCAGUCCAAAAUGGGUGGUAAAUUUCAUCUAAAGCUAAAUAUUGGCGAGAGACCGAUAGCGAACAAGUACCGUGAGGGAAAGAUGAAAAGAACUUUGAAAAGAGAGUUAAACAGUACGUGAAAUUGUCAAAAGGGAAGCGUUUGACACCAGUGUUGUUUUCUCGAAGAUCAAUUAAAAAUAGGUGGAUUUUGUAUGUUGUAUUGACCUUAACAGCUCAUGCUUACACUCUUUUCCGGUCUUUUUUAAUGCACUUUUCGUUUAACAAGUCAACAUCAGUUUCUUUUGUUGUAAAAGGGUCAUUGGAAGGUGGCUUUCUCUUCGGAGAAAGUGUUUAUAGCCUUUGAUCUCUGCAAUCGGAGAGACUGAGGUCUGCAGCGUAGAUCCUUCGGGGUUAGAUACAUUUGUGCUAAGCUACAGCUUUUCAUAGACAACUUGUUGACUAUGUUUAGUCUUGUGACUUACCCGCUUAUGCUAUUUUACCUACGCUUAGGAUGUUGAGCGCAUGUCUCUCUCU
rnacentral:rRNA from 1 species